rnacentral:rRNA from 1 species
GAUCCUGGCUCAGGAUGAACUCUAGCUACAGGCUUAACACAUGCAAGUCGAGGGGCAGCAUGGUCUUAGCUUGCUAAGGCCGAUGGCGACCGGCGCACGGGUGAGUAACACGUAUCCAACCUGCCGUCUACUCUUGGACAGCCUUCUGAAAGGAAGAUUAAUACAAGAUGGCAUCAUGAGUUCACAUGUUCACAUGAUUAAAGAUUCAUCGGUAACGGAUGGGG